AAAGAAUCAGUUUUUGUGGCGCAUCAUAAUACCCUGUGACACCUCUCUCUCCUCUCCUCUCCUCCCUCCUUCUUCUUUCUCCUUCUUUCUCCUUAUUUCUUCUUCUUCCUUCUUCUUUUUCUUUCUUCUUCCUUCUUUUUCUUUCUCUUUUUCUCCUUUUUCUUCUCCUUUUCUUCUUCUCCUUUUCUUCUUCAUCUCCUUUUCUUCUUCAUCUUCGUCUUUGUCUUCUUCUUCCUCCUCCUUCUCCUUCUCUCUCUCUCUCUCUCUCUCUCUUUCUCUCUCUCUCAGCACGGAGCAUGUUUCUCUAACAAUUAAAAGACUAUGGCAGACCAGCAAAAGUGAAUCUGUGUGUCCUUUUGAAACGUGAUCUGGUGUUAAGUCACUGUCUCACCACUUCAGUGUCGCACGUCAGCAAUAAUGUCACCAAAUGAAGCUGCCUUAUUUGCAAUCCUGAGAAUAAAGGACAUCUAACAUCCA
rnacentral:lncRNA from 1 species